AGACAUUUGUAAUUAAAAAAUAUUUAUGAAUAAAUGAAACACAAUCUAUAAUAAAAAAAAAAAACAAUUUAACUAGAAUAAUAUAAAUUUAAUGUAUAAAACAAUAGAACCUGGUUUAUCAAAAGCACAAUUGCAGCUCUACUUAAUAUAAUCACUUUACAAUUUAAACCUGCACAAAAAAAAAAAAAAAAAAUAUUAAUACAAAGUAAAUUAUUCUUAAUUUAUAAUUUUGUUAUCACUUAUCAAUACUCUUUUUUUUUUUUGUGUAACAUUAAACCUUUUUUUUAGCAAAAGAUUGAAUCUACUAAGACCAACCCACUAACAAAAUGUGUAAGACCCAACUUUAUCCACACUAAAACUAAGACAAGCCUAGGGCCCACUAUCCCUCAUGGUUCCAUCCCACUAAAUCUGAUUUCUUAAAAAAAAAAAAAAAAACGUGUAAAACCAAAAAUAAGAAUAGAACAAAACGUGUAAAACCAAAAGCAAAAGCAAAACAAUACCUGAUUUCUUUAAAAAAAAAAAAUGUGUAAAGCCAAAAAGAAGAAUAAAACAAAACGUGUAAAGCCAAAAGCUAAAGCAAAACAAUACUUUACAUCUUUAAGGGGUCAUCUGGACCAUUCCAUAGACAGCUAGGCUUCUAGAGAAAUCUGUAGCAAAAAAGAAAGAGCAAAAACCCAGCAGCUCCUCUUCCCAAAAAAAAAAAACUCAGACACCCAUCAGCUGAAGAAGAUCUAAAGCCAAAAAGAAAGAGCAAAAACCCAGCCGCUCCUCUUCAAAAAAAAAAAAAAAAAAAACUCAGACACCCAUCAGCUGAAGAAGAUCUAAAGCCAAAAAGAAAGAGUAAAACCCAGCAGCUCCUCUUCAAAAAAAAAAAAAAAAAAAAACUUAGACACCCAGCAGCUGAAGUAGACGAAAGAGGCAAAGAGGCAAAGGAAGAGAAAGCAGAAAAGAACCUGAAAUGAAGCUCUGUGAACACACCAAGUCUAUUGCUAACACCGAUUGAUGAGUUGUGUGUCACUUACUCACUUGGGGUUCCAGAUUUGUUGUUUAUUAAUACCCUUUGCACAUAGCUGCAUCUUAUGGUAACAUCCAAUUUGCCCUAGAGCUAAUGAAUUUAAAGCCUUCAUUUGCUCGGAAACUAAAUCCAAACGGUUUUAGUCCCAUUCACCUUGCUCUACAAAAUGGGCAUAUUGAGUUGGUGCGUCGGCUUCUACAACUUGAUGGGGACCUUGUUUGUGUCAAAAGAAGGGAGCGGCUAACUCCUUUGCAUUAAGUAGUAGAAAGUGGUAAGCACCUUGAUCUGUUGGAAGAAUUUUUAAUGGUGUAUCCUGAUUCUAUUACAGAUGUGAUGGUGCGAAAUGAGACAGCGUUGCAUAUUGCCCUGAAAAAUGACAAGCUCGAGCCAUGUCACUAAGAAUUCAAAUGCCGUGAGCUUGUCAUUUUUGAGGGCAAUGUGCAACGCUGUCUCGUUUCGCACUGUCACAUCUAUAAUAGAAUCAGGACACACCAUUAAAAAUUCUUCCAACAUGUCAAGGUGCUCACCACUUUCUACUACUUAAUGCAAAGGAGUUAGCCGCUCCCUUCUUUUGACACAAACAAGGUCCCCAUCAAGUUGUAGAAGCCGACGCACCAACUCAAUAUGCCCAUUUUGUAGAGCAAGGUGAAUGGGACUAAAACCGUUUGGAUUUAGUUUCCGAGCAAAUGAAGGCUUUAUAUUCAUUAGCUCUAGGGCAAAUUGGAUGUUCCCAUAAGAUGCAGCUAUGUGCAAAGGGGUAUUAAUAAAUGGUAGCUCGUCGAUGUUCCCAUAAGAGUUAGGCUAAGUGGUUUGCAAAUUCAAUUAUGGGAGAAGAAAUGACAGAAUAAAAAAAAAAUUCGACCUUGAAGCUGUACGCAUCUGUAAUGUGUCAAUUUUUAUUUUCUGUUUCUUUGAUAAUAAAAUUUAGUCUAUGUUUCUUUGUACAUCGUUGUAGUACUUAAUGUAUAUUGCAAUAAAGUAGUGUGAUUGGCUAGCAUUAAUUUUUGAAUUUAUAUUCAAAUUUCUAAUAGUGUUUGGUUCUAAAAGCUCAGGAUAUUAUUGGGUGCUUUAAAUUUCAAUAAUAUCAUGUUUUGGAAGCAUACUAUCAUGACCAUGAAACAGUGGUCAUACUUAUAUUAUUUGCAAUAAUAGAGUGAAGCUUUUAGAAAAGAAUAAACUCUACUUUGAAUCAGAAUAAGGUGAAGCACCGUUGGCCUGGUCAUAAUACACAGAAUUAUGAUUGAUUUCAACCUCUAAUGAGAAUCCAUAAACGUCUAUUCUUCAAAACAAGUGACAAACAGAACAAAUAGUAAUUGUCACUUGUUUGUAGGGUGAUCAUUAGAUGGAACAGAGUAGGAUGACUGAAAAUCCCACCUAGUGAUAAUUCAAUGAUCAUUGGUGAGAGCUCAAGACACGGUGAUGAUCAGUUGUACUCCCAGAAAAGGCUUAUUAAGGUUUCACUGAAGGCACUUGGGUCUGCCGCCUAUGCCCCUGGCAACUCUACUAGAUCCCAACAUUCCCAUGAAAGUUCUUUACCUGCUACACUGUCACUGAUAUUUGGCAAUGUAGAUAAAUUGGGAGGUGACAUUUAUCAUUCAGCUGUGACUGUUAUGAGUGAGAUAAUCCACAAAGACCCAACAUGUUUUCCUGCUCUGGAUGAUUUGGGUCUUUCAGCUGCCUUUUUAUCAUCGGAGGUAGCUGGUAUACUGCCUUAGUCAAAGGCUCUAACAUGUGUUCCUAAUGGUCUUGGGGCCAUUUGCCUUAAUGCCAAAGGCUUAGAGGCAGUGAAGGAAGCCUCAGCAUUACGGUUUCUUGUUGACAUUUUCACCAGUAAGAAAUAUGUUACGGCAAUGAAUGAUGCUAUUGUUCCUUUGGCAAAUGCUGUGGAAGAGCUUUUACGCCACGUAUCUUCUCUGAGAAGCACUGGUGUUGAUAUUAUCAUAGAAAUUGUUAAUAAGAUUGAUUCUUUUGGGGACAGUAAUUAGGUAGGGGUACUGACUUUAAUUAGUCCGUAUUUUUUUUCUUUAAGAAAUAUUUUACGGCAAUGAAUGAUGCCUUUGUUCCUUUGGCAAACUAACUUAUUGGGAGUUCUAGCUUUGUAUUUUUUUUCUUGUGCUUCUUUUGUAUGGUUUAAUUAGUCCGUUAACAUUGAUGCUGGAAGGCUGCAUCUAUCUAUUCACAAUAAGAUAGAUGUGUAGUUCAGAUUGUUUACCACUCAUCAAACAAAUUUAAAAGGCCUUUAAGAGAUACCAAAUAUAUAUUUUUGUAUUAUGCCAUUUGGCUAUUCACCAUAAAACAUGUGUAGUUUAGAUUGUGUAACAACUUAACUAAUAAACAAUGAAAAAGCUUUAUUUCUCUACUUAUGAAACUCCAGCAUACUAACCACUUAUAAUCUGAUCCAAAUGUAGUAUAGUAGACUAGUAGUACUUUUUUUUUUUUUUUUUGGGUUUGAUAACAAGUAGACUAAUAGUACUAACUAGUAAUUAGUUGACUUGUGUAUCUAUCUAUCUGCCUAUUUCCUUGGAAAAUAACAGUAUUGAUAUAUGGGUGGUUCGUAGCUGAACCACACUCUUUUCCCAGAAACAGAAACAGAGAAAUAGCAACAAGCUAGAGUGAAAAACGCACAACAUUCUUCUUCACAGACCCGCAACAUUCUCCUUCACUCUAUAACACGCAAACAAAUACAAUGCUCUCUGCUCUUAGUCUUUUCACUUUCAGUGACCAUCUUUGCAUUGCAUGACUCAAAUUUUCACCAAAACAAUGUGUUUUUUCUGAGAUUCAUAGCAUUUCAAGUCUUUGCUUCUUGUUUCUUCACUACCCUCUACCUAUUCAACUCAUUUUAGGUUUCUGAAGUAGCAAGUAAAGAAAGCGUACCCAUUUGAUUAUUGAGCAACUUUCUUGCAACUUGCAAGUGCUUUUUAUCCUAUUACAAGUGAUUUCUUUCUGUGUUUCUAUGUUAUUUGUUUGAGUUGUUUCUUAUCAUCAUCUGGGCUAUAUAGAGAUUUUGCUUUUGUGAUUAUACUAUGUUUGAUGUCUUUUGCUUUUAAAAUAUUAUAUUUUCUUUUUUUUGAAGGAAAAAAUACUUUGUGAGAACUUUUUGGGUGUGCAAACACUUUGUGAAUUCAUGCCUUGCUACCAACAAAUGUAGUCUAUUGCUGAACCAUGUCAAUUCAUAGUGUUCUAUCUUCUGUGUAGUUGUGUUUAUUUUUAAAUUCUUCUAUCUUAUUAUUAUUAUUUGAGAUCUUUCUAUAGCCAUAAUAUUUUUCACAAUCAAUCAAAUUGCUAUCAUAGCUUUUGCAUUUACAACAUGUUUGUGCUUCUCUUUAAAUUAUUAUUAUUAUUAUAUGGAUAUGGAUGUUGUAAUCUUUGUCUGAUAUAUGGUUCUGCUUCUAUAUAUGUGUUCCUAUAAAUCCUUUGAAAAAUCAAAUUAUAACGCAUGAUGGGUCUGUUUAAUCCCCCUAUGCUUACAAAAUAACGAGGUUUUGGAUCUUCCUCCAACUCUAGUAGAGUUUGUGGUGCGUUUGUGCGUCAGAGUGUUCCAAGUGCAGCUAAAGAUAGUAAUGCCACUGUAAUGCGUGAUAAAAGUGCUUCGAAAUUCAAUAAGCCUAAUUUAUGCACAAAGUGCCAAGCUUUGGUCGAUCAAUUUCUGCUUCUUCUAAUGUCAGUGUUUUAGGUAAGAAGAGGAAGCCCAUGGAAGAAUGCAAGCGAUUGGUUUCAGAUGAGAAAUGUGAUGGAACUUCCAAAAGAACUAGCAUGAGCUAUACGUACAAACAAAAUGAGGAUGUUGUGAAUCAAAAGCGUAGAGUUCGGUCCAAGUAUUUCGAACCUAUUGAUAGUCCUUGAAAGAAAGUACAGGCGGCUUUGAAUCUAUUUAGAAAAGUUGUUGAGCAAGCGCAUGAGAGAAAUGAACGCAGAGUCUGACUUCAAAAGUGGGGCAACCAGGGCUGCUUAUAUUGAAGUGGCAAAGGAUCUUCACUGGGAACGAAAAUGGGUUAACGUAGACAAACGGAUAGGACCUGUUACUGAACUGAAUGUUAUUGGUCUUCAUCGUCAAUUUCAGAAUGGUAUUGAUUACAUGAUGAAGGGUAAACAAAAAUUGGCCACAAGUAUUGUUGCUUCCAGUCGUUAUGCCAAUUACAUGGGAUCACCUGAGGUAUUUGUUUAUAUAGGUCAAGGUGGGAAUCCAAGGGCUGGAAAAAGUGAACCAAAAGAUCAGAAGCUUGAGCGUGGAAACCUUGCUUUGAAGAAUAGUACGGAAGCCGGAACUCAUGUAAGGUUAAUUCGAGGCAUUGAAGGUUCUGAGGCUUCGAAAAACAGGAUAUACGUCUAUGAUGGCUUGUAUGUUGUGGAUAAAUUUACACAAGAAAGAGGAGAAUUUGGCAAGCUUGUAUUCAAGUUUGAGUUGAUAAGGAUUCCGGGGCAACCAAAGCUUGCUACAUAGGACAUGAAUGUGGAAAUGUUUUCUAGUUUUGCAAUGCUAAGUAGAAGUUUUGUGUUUUGUGUUUUGUUUUGCUUUCAAAUCAGUAAGGAUUUCUGUGUUUUGUAAACUUAUAAUUGAAGUUCAAAUCUUGUUUUACUUU